GGGAAGGUGGCUCAGUGGUAGAGUGCUUGCCUUGCAUGCAUGAGGCCCUGGGUUCAAUUCUUUGGCCCCA
rfam:Dipodomys ordii contig_62540, whole genome shotgun sequence.